GCUCUGAUCGAAGCGUCGGGAUUCAGGAUAUUGUCUCCGAUCUUUGACCACGGAUGUACUGGCACUGAUCGUUGAGGCGAUUGGAAGGUCGGGGUCGCCCCCGGCCUUUUUUAUU
rnacentral:sRNA from 1 species